GAAUAUUGGACAAUGGGCGAAAGCCUGAUCCAGCAAUGCCGCGUGAGUGAUGAAGGCCUUAGGGUUGUAAAGCUCUUUUACCAGGGAUGAUAAUGACGGUAUCCGGAGAAGAAGCCCCGGCUAACUUCGUGCCAGCAGCCGCGGUAAUACGAAGGGGGCUAGCGUUGUUCGGAAUUACUGGGCGUAAAGCGCACGUAGGCGGAUAUUUAAGUCAGGGGUGAAAUCCCAGAGCUCAACUCUGGAACUGCCUUUGAUACUGGGUAUCUCGAGUAUGGAAGAGGUGAGUGGAAUUCCGAGUGUAGAGGUGAAAUUCGUAGAUAUUCGGAGGAACACCAGUGGCGAAGGCGGCUCACUGGUCCAUUACUGACGCUGAGGUGCGAAAGCGUGGGGAGCAAACAGG
rnacentral:rRNA from 1 species